AUAAGUUUUUUUUAUUUGCGUUAUUUUGUUCAAUCUGCAGAAUAAAAGAAGCAAAAACUUUCAGAAAGAAAGGUUGGAAUCAAUGAAGCAGGUACCUUCUUUGCUUUUUUCUUUUUGUUUGAAAGCUUAUUUUCUUCUGUUAUGGGAUUCUGAUAUAUUUGUGCUUACCAAGUUGUAGAUAUGAAAAAUGGAUCUUGAGGCAAGAAGUUUGCAGCCAAACAUUAAGGGUGUGCUUCUUGCUAAGAUGCGGGAAUACAAACCAGAUCUGAACAAUAUUAAAAGCCCUCUGCACGGGAUAUUUUGUUGAAAUCACGCUUUGGCAGAUGCUUUGGUGUUUUUGUUUAAGUUUUUAUUUCGUAGUUUAUCUGCUAUUUUCACUCUUAUGGUGAAUAAGUUUCUAUGCUUUUUUUCCUUUCCAGUCUGGUUUCCAAGUAUCCAGUAUUACAGAUUAUCAAUGGUAGAACAAUUUUCAUUGAAAAUAUUUCUGUAGAUGGGUCUCUUUCUGUAGAUGUUGUUGAUGAUGCAGAGGUAUGCCAAUACAAUGCAUCGGUAUUUUACCAUGUUGAGUGUUUGGUUGCACUUGCACAUUAGCUGCUUAGUAGUCGUAGUUACAACUUGAUGCAAGGCUACACAGUAGUGUUAGCUUUAUACUAUUGACUUGAAUGCAUAUGUUUUGCGUAUUGGUUAACUGUUUUUUGCAGCAGUUAUACGGUAUGUUAGCCUCGGCCUAUUUUCACUCUUAUUUUCAUUCUCAUUGUGAGAAAAACCGAUUCUCAACUCUCAUAAGUCUCAACUCUUAAAAAUCUAGACAUUUGUUUCUUCUCAUUUAUGGGGUUUUUAUUUAUUCUUAGUCAUUUGAUCAUAGAAUGUCACAAUUUUGUCAGUUUGUAUUAAAUGUUUAGUUUUGUAUUAAAUGUUCAGUUUUAUUGACAGAUAAGAAAUGUUCAGUUUUGUAGGGAACAAGAAGAGCAUAUAUUAUAACAGUUUGUUUUGUUUCAGUUGACAUAUAUAUUUUGGAUUUUGGGUUAUAAACUCAAUGAAGCUAAUGCACUACUUCUGAAGUGGCUAUCGGUAGAAAAUAUGUUGUACGGUUCAUGAGAUGAUGCAGAUAGCAAACAUAUCAAUGUAAAAGAUAUGGUUUAUUAUUUCCAAGGCAGACAAGCAUACAAAAACACUGAUGGUGGCAAUGGGUGGAUUGGCAUUCUUAUUAGCAGUUAGACCAUUCAAAUUCUUUCUGAUGGUGAUCAUUGUGCAAAUUUCACCAUGGCAGCAAGUCUGCAGAUGUAGAAAUAUAAGGUUGAAGGAAUGGUGGGACUCAAUACCGAUAGUCCCUAUCUGUGUAGUAGACAGUGGUCUAUACUUUUUGAAAGCAUUUUUAUCAAUGUUUUGUAUUAUUGCAUUUGUAUCUACUAAACUAUGUAAGGAUUGAAUCAAAAUUUAGACAAGUAUAUUAGCUUAUUAUUUUGGCUGAUUUGCUGCUUAAAUUAUUAAGACAUGUUACUAAA